rnacentral:rRNA from 1 species
GGUUUUGCUGGACACCUCCUUCUAGACUGCAGAAAGCCCCAGAGUUUGAUCCUGGCUCAGGCUGGAACACCUCCUUCUAGACUGCACAAAGCCCCAUAAGCUGGAGCCUGCCUCACGCUGGUGCACAUGCUUCUACACUGCCAAUAAUGCCCUAUACCGCAGGCCGAUAACGAUGCAGUGACCAUGCUACUACAGCGGCCAAAUAUGCCCUAGAAUGCGUCCUAUUACAGUUGAUUGGCCGUCGUCGGACAACCAAGGCAGCGAUGGGUAGGGGUCCUGAGAGGGAGAUCCCCCACACUGGUACUGAGACACGGACCAGACUCCUACGGGAGGCAGCAGUGAGGAAUAUUGGACAAUGGAGGCAACUCUGAUCCACCCAUGCCGGGUGCAGGAAGACUGCCCUAUGGCUUGUAAACUGCUUUUACAGAGGAAGAACCGCACCCACGUGUGGGGUUUGACGUACUCUGCUAAUAAUGAUCGGUUACUCGUGCCAUCAGCGUGGAAAGAGGUCGCC